GACUGUAAAUCCAACAUCACUGUCCUUCAGUUUCACUCAUUCCCAGUAAAGAUGAGGACACACGCUCUGAUCAUCUGCUCUCUGCUGCUGCUGCUCAACGAGUGUAGAGGACAGAUCACCGUCACUCAGAGUCCCUCAAUGACAGCAGCUCAACCAGGACAAACUGUGAACAUCAACUGUAAAACCAGCACAGAUGUGUACAAUGAUGGUUCUGAUGAUUUUUUAGCCUGGUACUUGCAGAAACCUGGAGAAGCUCCUAAACUCCUGAUUUAUUGGGCCAACCGCCUCCAGUCAGGAACUCCAUCUAGAUUCAGUGGCAGUGGAUCUAACAGUGAUUUCACUCUGACCAUCAGUGGAGUCCAGACUGAAGAUGCUGGACAUUAUUACUGUCAGAGUUUCCAUUGCAGAACAGAUUCUGAUGGUGCUUGUGAGGGUGAUCUUACGUUCACACAGUGAUAAAGAGUCGUACAAAAACCUCCGUCAGUCAGAGUCACAGUGACUGAACUGAUACUGCAGUUGCUCACACACUUUCACACAAUUUCACACACUUUCACACACUCAACAACAGACACUCUAAAUUAUAAAGAGAUUCUCUCAGAAAAGUUUCUUUAGAUCACUGUAAACUGAACACAAUCACAAACUUCAGCAAAUGUAGUUGUAAACAGAAGCAUGUAUGUUCAUUCAUCUUCAGCUGUCAAUCAUAACACAAGAGCAGCAUAUAUAUAAACAGCAGCUUACGUCACUCCAGUGAGAAUAUUCUUCCUGCGUCCCUCCAUCACUCCAUCUCCACCUUUAUGUCCAUUUUAAUUCAUUUCAGAAGUCCUGAUGUUCAUAGUCGAGUCUUGUGACAGAAACAGAUCCUCCAUCAUGGACACGACAGAUGUGUUUACCUGCAGCAUUAGUGCUGGUGAUUUACAGACUCUUUCUGCAAGUUACAUCGUUACGCCAGUAGAUGGAGACAAGAGACUGACUUUAUGAGUGAAUCAAUCAAUUAUUAAUCAACUGAUUUGUUCAAAACACUGAAUCAUUCAGGAAAGAAACAAGCAUAUUUGAUGGCUCUGUCCCAAUGAAGAGGCUGCAUGUUCGUUCUGAAGAUCAACCAAUGAAAUGAUCCUUCACAGCCGCACUGAAAUGUUAUUGGUUCACGCUAUAGUCAGUCUCUGAAGGCAGGAAAUCAACUCCUUUUUUCCAUUAUUAAUUUAAUUAUUGCCUCCAAUCCUCUUGACAUCAUAUAAUUGUAUUUUAUUUCAUAUAUAUAUGGCUCAGAAUAUCAAGUCAAACAGUGAAACUGAGUGGAGUUAAACUCAUUUGCGUCACAUUUGUGAUUGUGUUCCUCUGAGAAUUGAGCAGAUCUCGUUUCAUCAUGUAUCUGCAGGUGUUUUCAUGCUCCAUUGAGUGAAGUUUAUUUAUAAAAUAUGAGCUAAAGCCCUGAUCCAAUGAAAGAGCCGAAACAAAAAUGACACAAAAAAGGACAUAAUGUUACAAUUAUGUUUUAUUGACUGAAUUGUAAUAAAAUCAAGACU